rnacentral:piRNA from 1 species
UGUCAUUUGGAGCACACAUCCGGCA